AAGUUUUGAGUCCUGGCUCAGGAUGAACGCUGGCGGCGUGCUUAACACAUGCAAGUCGAACGGGGAUGCAUUAAGAAGGAGUGCUUGCAUUCCGGAAGGAUGUAUCUUAGUGGCGGACGGGUGAGUAACGCGUGGGUAACCUGCCCCAUACCGGGGGAUACCACCUGGAACAGGUGCUAAUACCGCAUAAGCGCACGGGAGCGCAUGCUCCUGUGUGAAAAACUCCGGUGGUAUGGGAUGGACCCGCGUCUGAUUAGCCAGUUGGCAGGGUAACGGCCUACCAAAGCGACGAUCAGUAGCCGGCCUGAGAGGGUGGACAGCCACAUUGGGACUGAGACACGGCCCAAACUCCUACGGGAGGCAGCAGUGGGGAAUAUUGCACAAUGGGGGAAACCCUGAUGCAGCGACGCCGCGUGAGUGAAGAAGUAUUUCGGUAUGUAAAGCUCUAUCAGCAGGAACGAGACAAGACGGUACCUGACUAAGAAGCCCCGGCUAACUACGUG
rnacentral:rRNA from 1 species